rnacentral:lncRNA from 1 species
GGAAACCAGCUUAUUAAAGGGAACCAUGGAAACAGGAAACAUUUUCAAAAGGAAAUGGAUCUUUUGGUGCAGUGGAGGCAUGAUAUCUAGUUUUUGUGAGGGCAGCAUCCAUCUACAUCAACUCUGUGCCCUGAAGAGAAUGGAAAGAAGAGGAAAAAAAAGCAGUGGGAGACAAGUUUAUGUGAAGGGGCAGUGUAUUAUAAAACUACCUACAUCAAACGAUCUCCAGAAAGUUAAAAUGAUGCCAAUGGAAAGCAGCUGUAGCCGAGAUUCUUAUCCAAGGAAGCAAGCAGGGGUAAUGAAUGUUACUCAUUUGUGAAUUUAUUCUACAAAUAUUUGAAGACCUGCAAUGUGUAAGAUAUCAUAAGUGAAGUGUUGUGGAGGAAAGAUUCAUAAACAAUGUUCCCUGACCUCAAGAACUCUAAAAUUUAGUAAAGAAGAUAAGAAACAUCCA